AAGGGCUUAGCUUAAUGAAAGUGGUUGAUUUGCAUUCAAUUGAUGUGGGGUGUAGUCCCGCAGUCCUUA
rnacentral:tRNA from 3 species